AUUUUAACCCUGGUAGUCCACGCCGUAAACGAUGUCGAUUUGGAGGUUGUGCCCUUAAGGCGUGCCUUCCGGAGCUAACGCGUUAAUCACCCGCCUGGGGAGUACGGCCGCAAGGUUGAUACUCAAAUAAAUUGACGGGGGCCCGCCCAAACGGUGGAGCAUGUGGUUUAAUUUGAUGCAACGCGAAGAACCUUACCUGGUUUUCACAUCCACAGAACUUUCCAGAGAUGGAUUGGUGCCUUCGGGAACUGUGAGACAGGUGCAGCAUGGCUGUCGUCAGCUCGUGUUGUUAAAGGUUGGGUUAAGUCCCACUACGAGCGCAACCCUUAUCCUUUGCUGCCAUCGGUUAGCCCGGGCACUCAAAGGAGACUGCCAGUGAUAAACUGGAGGAAGGUGGGGAUGACGUCAAGUCAUCAUGGCCCUUAUGGCCAGGGCUUCACACGUGAUACAAUGGCGCAUACAAAGAGAAACCACCUCGCGAGAACAAACGGACCUCAUAAAGUGCGUCGUAGUCCGGAUUGAAGUAUGCAACUAGACUCCAUAAAGUGGAAAUCGCUAGAAAUCGUAGAUCAAAAUGCAACGGUAAUACGUUCCCGGUCCUUGAACACCCCGCCCGUCCCCCCAUGGAAGUGGUUUGCACAAGAAGUAGGAAAAAAACCUAAGGAGAAGAAUACAAGAUAGAUACUAUAA
rnacentral:rRNA from 1 species